AUGGUUGUGCUAUCGGAUGCACUAAUCGACAAGCAGACAAGCCUGAGCUGUGUUUGGUGAGGGAUUCCCUACAAGAGUUUGGUUUCACACAGUUUCACACACCACAAUAAGGCUACAGAGAGGUGAAGUGGCUGUGCAGCUGCUUGUGAAAAGGAGGAGGAGAUCCUGUUAGUCUCUGCUCCGGAUGAUGAGCUGAAAUCACAGAGGAGAGAACAAACAACCCUGGCGGCUGCCUCCAAAGCCACGAUCUGAGCAUGAAGCAGGUUGGCGCUUCAUCUGCAUCUCAAUGAGGAAUUUGAUCACAGCUCAGGAUUCAGAGGCAACGGCACAAUGUGAGGCUACCAGGGCCGCUGCUUUCAGAUAUGAAAAUACAUCUGGGAGACAAAUUAAAGACAGAGGGGGAAGAGAGACGUGUGAAGUUCAAAUGCAGCGUGUUCGCUGUGUUUGAUUCAUACUCUGCAGAGUUUCUCCCUCUAGGUUGGUUUGUUUUUCCAGAUGAUGAUGACAUUCAAACAAAAAAAGUGCUGACAUAUUUCCACCUUUUUAUGUGAUAAACUUGUUAGCAAACAGUUGCCUAUUUACACAUGCACCAAACAUGGAGAAACAUUUGGAUUCUCCUUUAAGGUGUGUUUCGGCCAGCUGUCACAAGAUGAUAAUUCUCUGUGGGCUUGUAACUAUGAGACACCCACUCACAUCACACAUCAUCAUUCGAUCCAUUGUUAAUGUAUAAAUAAUUAUUAUAGCAGCUUUAAGUUUGUCUAACUUAUUUUCUUAGAUUGACUCAGUGGGCUUUGCAUUAGUACAGCUAAUAAACAGAUUUAACAAACUA